AAGGGCACCACAAGAACGCGUGGAGCAAGUGGCUUAAUUUGACUCAACGCGGGAAAUCUUACCGGGUCCGGACACACUGAGGAUUGACAGGUUUUAUCAAAGUUUUAAAAUUUUUUUUUUUAUUUCUUUGUGCCAAAUAUGCUAGCCCUUUCAUGAUUAUGUGAUAGGUGGUGCAUGGCCGUUCUUAGUUCGUGGAGUGAUCUGUCUGCUUAAUUGCGUUUCAUUACAUAUUCAUAUACCAAAACGCACUUUGUGUUUGGUUUUUUCUUUUUUUAUUUUUAUAAAACUAAGAUAACCAAUUUAAAGCACAUCGUGUUAAACGUGAAUAUAGAAAGCAACGAACGUGACCG
rnacentral:rRNA from 1 species